rnacentral:rRNA from 1 species
UUUACCUGGUUUGAUCCUGCCAGUAGUCAUAUGCUUGUCUCAAAGAUUAAGCCAUGCAUGUGUAAGUACGAGCCUUUCUUAGGGUGAAACCGCAAACGGCUCAUUAAAUCAGUCAUAAUUUAUUGGUUACAGAAUUAUCUUACGGAUAACUGUGGCAAUUCUAGAGCUAAUACGUGCGAUUGAGCUCUGACGCCGGGCGGAGGGAUAUUCCAUCCUUCCGUUCGGGGGAGGAGCGCAGUUAUUAGAAUCAUAAACCGAGGCGGACUCUCGAGUUCGAAAUCCAAAUCGGCAAAAUGAUGACUCUGGAUAACCUGCCUAGCGCUCAGGCCUUCGAGCCGGCGCUGCAUCUUUCGAGUGGCUGCCCUAUCAGCUUUCGAUCGUAGGAUAUGGGCCUACGCUGGCUGUUACGGGUAACGGGGAAUCAGGGUUCGAUUCCGGAGAGGGAGCCUGAGAAACGGCUACCACAUCUAAGGAAGGCAGCAGGCACGCAAAUUACCCACUUCCGGCACGGAGAGGUAGUGACGAUAAAUAACGAUGCGGUACUCAUCCGAGGCAUCGCAAUCGGAAUGAGCCCAGUUCAAAAAAGUGGGCGAGGAUCCAUUGGAGGGCAAGUCUGGUGCCAGCAGCCGCGGUAAUUCCAGCUCCAAUAGCGUAUAUUAAAGUUGCUGCGGUUAAAAAGCUCGUAGUUGGAAAUUCGGUCUGUUCCGGCGGGCCACCUAGGUCGUGAACGGUCGUUCUCGCCCUUUUCUUCCUUUCGCUUCCCGAAGGCGUCGACGAGGCGGCGACGAGAACGCGCGAGUGGAAGGGAGUUCUAGCGAUCGCUUCGUUCGUCCCCUCUUCCCUUCUUUUCCUCAACGGGAAUGGAAGGAGGAGGCGCGGCGGCGGGCGUCGCCCCUCCCUCUCGACUCCCGUUUCUCCGUCGCUUUUCGUUUCGAUCGUCCUCCCCGGGGUUCCAAAGGCGUUCGCGUCGAAAGGCGAGGGCGGCCUCCGCGGCCGUUGGUGGAUAAACCGCUCGGUUACGGAUUUGAAAGGAAAACUUUUCGUCGGCGCUCACGGGGUGCUCUUUACCGAGUGUCUCGCGUGGCCGACGACGAUCACUUUGAACAAAUUAGAGUGCUCAAAGCAGGCCGAAAACUCUUACGCCUGAAUAGUAAUGCAUUGAAUGAUGGAACAGGACCUCGGUUCAGACUUAUUUUUUUUCUCGGUUUUUCCCGAACCCGAGGUAAUGAUUAACGGGGACGGUCGGGGGCAUUAGUAUUGCGACGCGAGGGGUGAAAUCCAGUGACCGUCGCAAGACUACCUACUGCGAAAGCAUUUGCCAAGAACGCUUUCAUUAAUCAAGAACGAAAGUUAGAGGAUCGAAGGCGAUCAGAUACCGCCCUAGUUCUAACCGUAAACUAUGCCAACUAGCGAUCCGCGUACAGUCAUUCCCAAGACUGCGCGGGAAGCCCCCGGGAAACCUAAGUCUAUAGGUUCCGGGGGUAGUAUGGUUGCAAAGCUGAAACUUAAAGGAAUUGACGGAAGGGCACCACCAGGAGUGGAGCCUGCGGCUUAAUUUGACUCAACACGGGAAACCUCACUAGGCCCGGACACCGGGAGGAUUGACAGAUUGAGAGCUCUUUCUCGAUUCGGUGGUUGGUGGUGCAUGGCCGUUCUUAGUUGGUGGAGUGAUUUGUCUGGUUAAUUCCGAUAACGAACAAGACUCUGGCCUACUAACUAGUCGCGCGGAUCGUUUCCCGAGAAGGGUUUCCCCCUCAACGCGAGCGGUCGCGCGGCGCGCGUGGGCGGUCAAACUCGGUUCGUCUCGCGUCAAAGGCGGGGGUUUUCGGUCGGCUCUUUCGCCUCCCUACGGUUCGCUCUUUCGGGGGCGGCGUCGUAGGGGGGAGUCGGGGUUCGGUCGUUCCUCGUCGCGGGAUGAAUCGGGUCGCCUCGCGCGCGUCGUCGUCGCGAGCGAAGGGGUCCCGACGAGGGGCGUCCGUCGUAAAUCUUCUUAGAGGGACCGGCGGUCUCGAACCGCACGAGAGGGAGCAAUAACAGGUCUGUGAUGCCCUUAGAUGUCCUGGGCCGCACGCGUGCUACAAUGGAGGGAGCAGCGUGCUUUCCCCCUCCGAAAGGAGUGUCGGGUAACCCCGUGAAACCCCUUCCCGAUUGGGAUUGGGGCUUGCAAUGGGUUACCCAUGAACGAGGAAUCCCUUGUAAGCGCGAGUCAUAAGCUCGCGAUGAAUACGUCCCUGCCCUUUGUACACACCGCCCGUCGCUACUACCGAUGAAUGAUUAAGUGAGAGCGUCGAACCGGCGCCCUCGGCAGCUCUCGGUUCGCAUUCGGCUUUCCCCCGCGUGAAGACCCUCUCUUAGUACCU